GACGAACACUGGCGGCGCGCCUAACACAUGCAAGUCGAACGAGCGAGAGAGCUUGCUUUCUUGAGCGAGUGGCGAACGGGUGAGUAACGCGUGAGGAACCUGCCUCAAAGAGGGGGACAACAGUUGGAAACGACUGCUAAUACCGCAUAAGCCCACGGUGCCGCAUGGCACAGAGGGAAAAGGAGCAAUCCGCUUUGAGAUGGCCUCGCGUCCGAUUAGCUAGUUGGUGAGGUAACGGCCCACCAAGGCGACGAUCGGUAGCCGGACUGAGAGGUUGAACGGCCACAUUGGGACUGAGACACGGCCCAGACUCCUACGGGAGGCAGCAGUGGGGAAUAUUGCACAAUGGGGGAAACCCUGAUGCAGCGACGCCGCGUGGAGGAAGAAGGUCUUCGGAUUGUAAACUCCUGUUGUUGGGGAAGAUAAUGACGGUACCCAACAAGGAAGUGACGGCUAACUACGUG
rnacentral:rRNA from 1 species